rnacentral:rRNA from 1 species
GACGAACGCUGGCGGCGUGCUUAACACAUGCAAGUCGAACGGAAAGGCCCUGCUUUUGUGGGGUGCUCGAGUGGCGAACGGGUGAGUAACACGUGAGUAACCUGCCCUUGACUUUGGGAUAACUUCAGGAAACUGGGGCUAAUACCGGAUAGGAGCUCCUGCUGCAUGGUGGGGGUUGGAAAGUUUCGGCGGUUGGGGAUGGACUCGCGGCUUAUCAGCUUGUUGGUGGGGUAGUGGCUUACCAAGGCUUUGACGGGUAGCCGGCCUGAGAGGGUGACCGGCCACAUUGGGACUGAGAUACGGCCCAGACUCCUACGGGAGGCAGAAGUGGGGAAUAUUGCACAAUGGGCGGAAGCCUGAUGCAGCAACGCCGCGUGCGGGAUGACGGCCUUAGGGGUGUAAACCGAUUUCGCCUGUGACGAAGCGUGAGUGAAGGUAAUGGGUAAAGAAGCACCGGCUAAAUACGGG